rnacentral:lncRNA from 1 species
UGGGUUUUCUAAUUCUAAAGCAACUAAGAUAUACAGUUGGGUUUCUAGUACCAAGCAGCUAAUAAUAGUGUCUGGUUUUCAAGAUGAGGUAACAAAAUUCUGGCUCCGUGGAUAGAAAAAAAAUCGAGGGAAAAGAAACGCAUACAGUGGACAAAUCAAGAAGGACCAAAGACAGGUGAAUCUGGGAGGAAAGUUUUGCCAGUCCCAGUUGUGUGCGGAAGGUGCAGCAGCAGAUAAUUUAAUUCAAUGUAACAAUGGUAUGAUAUUGACACUGUGUACUCUGACUCUUAGAUCACGUUUGGG